GACGAACGCUGGCGGCGUGCUUAACACAUGCAAGUCGAACGGAAAGACCCUGCUUUUGUGGGGUGCUCGAGUGGCGAACGGGUGAGUAACACGUGAGUAACCUGCCCUUGACUUUGGGAUAACUUCAGGAAACUGGGGCUAAUACCGGAUAGGAGCUCCUGCUGCAUGGUGGGGGUUGGAAAGUUUCGGCGGUUGGGGAUGGACUCGCGGCUUAUCAGCUUGUUGGUGGGGUAGUGGCUUACCAAGGCUUUGACGGGUAGCCGGCCUGAGAGGGUGACCGGCCACAUUGGGACUGAGAUACGGCCCAGACUCCUACGGGAGGCAGCAGUGGGGAAUACUGCACAAUGGGCGGAAGCCUGAUGCAGCAACGCCGCGUGCGGGAUGACGGCCUUCGGGUUGUAAACCGCUUUCGCCUGUGACGAAGCGUGAGUGACGGUAAUGGGUAAAGAAGCACCGGCUAACUACGUG
rnacentral:rRNA from 1 species